AUUAUUAUUAUUAUUAUUAUUGUUAUCACUGAACAUGUAUUUCCUGUGACACAAUCGUUUCCUUGUUAAACGGGCGUGUCGUAAUAUUAUCAUGAUGCGAUCGCAUCAUUCAAAUAUCACAUUCUUUGCUUAAUCUGACAGCGAUGAUGUGACGUGACGUAUUAUGGGAUUGAUGUUGUAAACCAAUUGUAUAAAUCGCAUGCAGGCCAGCGAAAUUUAAUCGUGAUAUAUUUCAUAUUGAAACUAGAACGUUGCGGAAGAGAUAUCCCUGAUUUUUUCGUAUGUUAAUAUCCUGUCUUGUUAGAUCUUUCGAUUGUACAAGCAUACGCCACGCGAAAAAUGUUCUACUCGUCUAAUGAAUGUUUAAUGGAUAUACAUAUACAUUUAUAUAUAUGUGUAUAUAUAUAUAUAUUUUUUAUCACAUAUGUAUAUA